rnacentral:rRNA from 1 species
CCCUUAGAUGUUCUGGGCCGCACGCGCGCUACACUGAUGCAUUCAACGAGUCUAAAACCUGCUCUGAUAGGGGUGGGUAAUCUUUUGAAUGUGCAUCGUGAUUGGGAUAGAUGAUUGCAAUUUUUCAUCUUCAACGAGGAAUGCCUAGUAAACGCAAGUCAUCAGCUUGCAUUGAUUACGUCCCUGCCCUUUGUACACACCGCCCGUCGUUCCUACCGAUUGAAUGAUCCGAUGAAUAUCAUGGAUUGAGGAUGCAAGUAGGUUAGCCUAUCUUCAUCUUCGAGAAGUGAAGUAAAUCUUAUCAUUUAGAGGAAGGAGAAGUCGUAACA